CGGCCGCAAGGUUAAAACUCAAAUGAAUUGACGGGGGCCCGCACAAGCGGUGGAGCAUGUGGUUUAAUUCGAUGCAACGCGAAGAACCUUACCAAGUCUUGACAUCCUGCGAAUUUUCUAGAGAUAGAUUAGUGCCUUCGGGAGCGCAGUGACAGGUGCUGCAUGGCUGUCGUCAGCUCGUGUUGUGAAAUGUUGGGUUAAGUCCCGUAACGAGCGCAACCCUUGUCCUUAGUUGCUAGCAGGUUAAGCUGAGAACUCUAAGGAGACUGCCGGUGACAAACCGGAGGAAGGUGGGGACGACGUCAAGUCAUCAUGGCCCUUACGACUUGGGCUACACACGUGCUACAAUGGCCAGUACAAAGGGUUGCCAAGCCGCGAGGUGGAGCUAAUCUCAUAAAACUGGUCGUAGUCCGGAUUGGAGUCUGCAACUCGACUCCAUGAAGUCGGAAUCGCUAGUAAUCGUGAAUCAGAAUGUCACGGUGAAUACGUUCCCGGGCCUUGUACACACCGCCCGUCACACCAUGGGAGUGGGUUGCUCCAGAAGUGGCUAGUCUAACCUUCGGGGGGACGGUCACCACGGAGUGAUUCAUGACUGGGGUG
rnacentral:rRNA from 1 species